ensembl:miRNA
GCUGGAAAAGGUAGAGGAGAUGGCGCAGGGGACACGGCUGAGACUGGGGUCCCGGGACUUCCAAACAUGUGUCCUCUUCCCCUUCCUCCCAGGUCUAUG